rnacentral:rRNA from 1 species
CAGCAGCCGCGGUAAUACGUAGGGUGCGAGCGUUAAUCGGAAUUACUGGGCGUAAAGCGUGCGCAGGCGGUUGUGUAAGACAGGUGUGAAAUCCCCGGGCUUAACCUGGGAACUGCGCUUGUGACUGCACAGCUAGAGUAUGGCAGAGGGGGGUGGAAUUCCACGUGUAGCAGUGAAAUGCGUAGAUAUGUGGAGGAAUACCGAUGGCGAAGGCAGCCCCCUGGGCCAAUACUGACGCUCAUGCACGAAAGCGUGGGGAGCAAACAGGAUUAGAUACCCCCGUAGUCCCUGUCUCUUAUAC